GCGCCACCGCCCGCCGCCACCGGCACCACCUUCCGCGUGCGCCUGCGCCUGCGCGAGCGGCCGAGCGUGCAGGCCCCCGAGCCCGAGGCGGCCUCUUCCUCUUCUUAUCCCCGGUGACCUCGACUUCCUGUCCACACGACGGCACCGCCCUUCCACUCCGCCUCGCACCUCCACGCAACGGCGUCGCCCCUCCACUCCUCCUCGCGCCUCCACGCAACGGCGCCGCCCCUCCGAUCCGCCUUUGCCUUCGCUAGAUCCGGCGAGCCGCGUGUCCUCUGCCUCCACCUCUUUGCCGUCGUCGUCCACCACUGGGGUCGUCGAGUUCGCCACUCGCCGCAUCCACGUCGAGGACAAGGUCGUCAAAGCCCAGAUCUGGGACACCGCUGGCUAGGAAAGGUACGCGCCCCAGAUCCGUCUGAGCUCUGCGAGGCUCAUCGAUCCCCUUCCUCCUAUCUGAUCUCCGAUUGGUCCAUCCGUUAGCAAUUGGUUGGUCUGCGUCGUAUGGAUCUCUGUAGCUUAACUUGGUCAGUGAUCCCUAGUUGGUAGUUGCCAAUACGAUUCCGCGUGUUUUGUAAUUUAUAUGUCCGCGUUUGUGUGCUGCUGCUGCUGCGGCUGAGGCCAGUGUGUUUCUUGAUUGUUGCAUUGCGCCCUCAGCUAAAUCAAUCAAUAUAUAUAUGUGCACUUGCUAGUCGUGAAUUUUACAUAUAUAAGCUUUUCCAAGUAUAUGUAAACUCAUCAUGUACUACAUACUACUUCCUUCUAUAUAUCCAUCUGAUUCCAAGUAAUGCUAAUGUUCUUCCUUGUCGCUUUCAACAUCUGAUGAUGUGCUUGCUAUACCUGUCUCCACAAAGGAUGAGGAUGGAAAGUGGUUCUAGCAAUACAGCCAAGUCAGAACUUGACAAGUAUCUUAGUGAAGAUACAGAGGAUAGGAAUAAAAAGAUUGACAUCCUUGUUUGGUGGAAAGACAACGCACCCAGGCUUCCAGUUUUAGCUCACUUGGCUCGUGAUGUGCUUGCUAUACCUGUCUCCACAGUAGCAUCAGAGUAUGCUUUCAGCACAAGUGGACGUAUUUUAGAUGAUUUCCGUACUUCUCUUACUCCAUUCAUGGUAGAGGCUCUAGUUUGUGCACAGGAUUGGCUUAGGAGAGCAACUCCUAUUGACAUCAAAGAGAAUAUGGAGGAAUUAGAAAUGAUGGAAAAAGAGUUAAUUGAAGAAUUUGGUAACCAUAAAGCUCAGAAUAUUAGCAAAGGAAAAGGGAAAGAAAAAGAGGCUUCCACUGAGAAAACACAAGCAACACCAACAGGAAGCAACUCCAAGUCCAUCUCCAAACCCGGGUCGUCUACAUCUUAGAAGGCUGGUGCCGUGGUGCAUGGUGCUGGUGGGUGCCUGGGUGGUUUGGACUUUGGUGCCUGCCUGCCUGGAGGCGCAGCUUCAUCUUCAUGAGAGUCAUGUUUAUCUCUGUUGGGUGCUUCAAAACUAUAUUUAUUAAUUGUGAUAUUUGAAGUGUAAACUGUCAGUUUGGUCAUGUACUAGUAGUGUUGUUUAUCUUUGAAAAACUCAUGUUUAUCUCUGAACAUGUAUACUAGCGACUGGGCAUGUUUAUUCAGUUACUCAGUUUGGUCA